UCGUUCUGUCUGUCUGUGUGUCUGUCUCCCUGGCUGGGUGUGGCUGACCCACUUCUGAUUCCCGCCAACUCACCUCCGCAGCUGCUGCUCAUCAUCCUGAUUACACUACUCACCUUCACCUGCUUAUAUGCCCGGUCCUCUCAUCCAGUAUUCACCAGUUCGUCGUUUCACCUCGCUGAAUCCAUCUGCCUACUCCUCUGCCUGCCACAUCCAGCCACGUACCUCUCGUCUGAGUAUCUCCGUGCUUCCACGCACACCGGCUCCAACCUGUCAACUAUCGCCAGCUCUGGAUCAGCGGCUUUCCUCGCCAGUGUACCUUCGUGCUUCCACGCACACCAGCUCCUUCCUGUCGACUCUCACCAGCUCUGGUCCCCCGGCUCUCCUCGCCAGAGUAUCUCCGUGCAUAUCCGCACCACCUCAGUUAACAAACCCUGGCUUUGGGUUUAUUGGAUAUUUAAUCCCUCGUCUGACUCUAUAUAAGGUUUUUGGUUAAUAAACCUUUUUCUACCUCAAAA